CAUUUCACAUUUUUAAGGUGAUGCAUGUUGGAUCUUUAACUUUUCAAGUGGUUAAUGAGGAUCAUGGGAAACUAACCCUUCCUGUAGAUUGGGCAAAGGAUAAAGACAUUGCCGUAUCUGAAUUGAUUUUGGUCGACACAAAAAAUAGCAGUAAAUAUUUUAGAUUGAGCAAAUGGGAAUUCUACCCGAACUGUUACAAUACUCAGAUUUUGUCUGUAGGAUCAAAGUUUUCUGUUGUCUGUAAAAUUGAGGGAAUACUGUCCAAUCUGGAUAUUUCAACAGACUGUCUCAAGUUUUCCAGUAAAAGCCAUUAUGUUCAAACUGGAACGAAGGUGAAAAUUAUUGUUAAAAACAAUAAAAGAAACAAUUCCAAAGGUUCCGCUAGUGUGGUUUUAGGCCUUGUGACUGAUAAUCCAGAGCUCAAAUCAGAAAUUAAUCCUGGGCAAGAGCUCAAGUCUGAAACUAAUUCUGAGCAGAUGAAUAGGCAGGUUCAGAUGAUAAGAAAGGGAAUAAUAAAAUACAGCAAGAAGAAUAUUGGACUGUUAUCAACCCCAGAGGGAGAGUUGGUUUUGUUUAAACAGGCAGAUUUGCCUGGAUUGAAUGUAGAUAAAAUAAAGGAGGUCAACUUUCGUGCUGUUAAAGCUAAUGAAAUGAUCAUUGCAAGAGCUCAGAAGUGUUUUGGAGAUGAUUGCAAGAUUUCUCUCUGCGCAUUCAGUCUUUUCAUCGAAACUGAGAAAGAAAUUAAAAAUAAAGAGGAAUAUGAAAUAUUACGAGAACUCAAUGAUUUGAUAGUUUUGGCCUUGCGUGAAGAAAAGAGUACUUCCCCAGUGAGCUCAAGUUCUCAAAUUAAACCAGAUCCAACAGCGGAAGUCUUUAAAUCUGUGAAAGAAGAAAAAUCUAAGAUUUUUAAAACUGAGGGUUGUCUCCUAUUAAUUAAAGAGAUACUUAUGGCACCAGGAAUUUGCAGUUCAGCUCUAUCCUACAGAAAAUGCCGUAGAAAGGUUUGUCGGUAUUAUCAUGAUAUUCCUAGGCAUUUGGACAUAAAAAAGAAUAGAAAUGGAAAAUUCAUCUGCUCUAAUAAUCAAUUUAAAGCUCAGAUAAGAUCUUUGAGGGAAAAUUGUCCACAAUGCCAUCCAAAUGAGGAAUCCUCAACAGAAAUAAUUAGCAUCAAGAGAAAAUCUUUAGCAGACCAGGACCUUGAAAGUGUUAAUAUCAAGAGAAGGUGUCACGGCUCAAAUUCCUCUUUGAUCGUUAAUAAUGAAGUGUAUACAGUUGUAGAUCAAGAUGAGGAUGUUGAUUUACACCCUCCAGAUUCUGCAGAUAGAUCAGUUCAGUUCCGUUUGUACCCUGAUAAUGUUGAAAACUACGAGCAAGCUGACAUAAAUAAUUUGUAUAAUUCAAAAGCUGAUGCUAUUAACUAUCCGGAGGAAAGUUUCCAGUCUCAGAACAAGCCUCGAUGCAGGUAUUUUGAUCCUAACACUGGGAGAGGUUGCGCCAGACAAGAUGCAUGUAAGUAUUUUCAUGACAGAGGAACCUUUGAGGGAAACCGUUACCACAAUGAACCCCCUUACAUGCCUGAAACCACUGCAGGUUAUCAAGAUGAAUCAUUUGAAGAAGAAUAUGAAGUUCCCUCUAAACCCUUAAGGUUUGAUGUUAAGCUAAUGGAGAACAUAGAGGUUAAAGACAGCGGAAAGAUAGUCAAAGGACGACUUAUUGGAUCUCCAGAACAUCUUCACUCGAUGAGAAACAAAAAGGUUUGUAUUGAGAAGUCCGAACUGAAAAACUGGUUACAUAUCGAGGAAGGGUUUUACAAUGUUCACAAGGAGCGGAAAAUCUUCUACGUAAAUAUAAAAAUAUUCUCGUGCUCCGCCAGCACAACGAUAUGCAAGGGGACAAAGAUAGCCACUGCAACUGUCAAGGAACAUGAGAGAAGAAUUGUCUACACCUAGAAUCAUCAAUAUCAAGUACAUCAACUUACAGGCAUCCUCUGCAUCUACUUAUCAACAACCUUAACAGAAUCAACCACGUCAAUGUUAUCUUAUCCUCAACAACCUGAACGGAAUCAACUUCGCCGACUGCAUCUACUCAUCAACAACCUUAACAGAAUCAACCGCGUCAAUGUUAUCAACCUGAACAGAAUCACUUCCAUGCAUUCACUGCAUAUACUUAUCAACAACCUUAACAGAAUCAACCGCGUCAAUGUUAUUUUAUCCUCAACAACCUGAACUGUAUCAACUUUGCCGACUGCAUCUACUCAUCAACAACCUUAAUAUGUAACAGAAUCAACUGCGUUGACUGCAUCUUUACCUUUCAGCCUCAAGUGGAUACACAAAUUAAGUCAGAAAUAAAGCAUUAAAAUGAAGAACAGUAUUGACAACUUCCUCAACAACAACAACAGUAUCCAGAUUAUCAGCAGCAUUUGUUUGAAAACAGAACCAACAGUAUGAACUGCAUCAAAUGAAUCUAAAUCAGAAUUCUACAGCAUUGUCAGCAUCUACAGCAUCACAUUUUCAACGCCAUCAGCAGUUUUGGAAACAUUAAAAACUUAAAGCUUCAGUUAAGUUUACAAUUUCGAAACAUUGUGAGUCAGUAGUGAAAGAUAACUGGUUGAAGGUUGGAUGGCAAACAAGGAUGAAUUGAGUUAGAAGAAGAAGCUGAUUCUAAUUAUACAUUGUGUUAUAUGAAUUCUUAAUAUUAUUUACUGUUGUAUAAAUAGAAAAAUAAGUAUUUUAUAAUUAAACAUUCAAUCAUUGUAAAAUUAUACUCUUGUACAUUCAAGAAAUUAUACCUUAAACGGGAAG
rnacentral:misc_RNA from 1 species